GCCCUAAAACAAAUUUAGGGUGAAACCUGCCCAAUGAUUUUUAACUUAAUAAUAAUAAAAGUAUUAUAAUAAAAUUUAAAGGACGCGGUAACCUUGACUGUGAUAAUGUAGCAUAAUCACUCGCCAUUUAAUUGAUGGAUAGUAUGAAUGGUCAAACGAAUAUUACACUGUCUCAAAAAAAGAUUUUAUAAAAUUGAAACAAUAGUUAAGAUGCUAUUUAAAAUUGUAAGACGAAAAGACCCUAUAGAGCUUAACUAUAUUAUCUUUUAAAAAAAGAAAAAAUUAUUUCUGAAAAUAAAGAUAAAGGUAGUUUAGUUGGGGCGACUAUCUUCUAAAAAUAACGAAGACAAACAAUAUUAAUAAAACAAUUUAUUGUAUAAUCUAUAAAUUUAACAAUUACCAAAGUAGGUUAUAAUGACCCGUUAAAAUUGAAUAAAAAAUUUAACGAUCAAUAAAUAAAAGCUACCUUAGGGAUAACAGGAUAAUUUUAUUCUAGAGAUCUAAUCGAAAAUAAAGUUUGUCACCUCUAUGUUGAAUUAAGAUAUCCAAGUAAUGCAAAAGUUAUUAAGGGUAGGUCUGUUCGACCUUUAAAAUCUU
rnacentral:rRNA from 1 species